rnacentral:rRNA from 1 species
GAUGAACGCUGGCGGCGUGCCUAAUACAUGCAAGUCGAGCGAACAGAUGAGGAGCUUGCUCCUCUGACGUUAGCGGCGGACGGGUGAGUAACACGUGGAUAACCUACCUAUAAGACUGGGAUAACUUCGGGAAACCGGAGCUAAUACCGGAUAAUAUAUUGAACCGCAUGGUUCAAUAGUGAAAGACGGUUUUGCUGUCACUUAUAGAUGGAUCCGCGCCGCAUUAGCUAGUUGGUAAGGUAACGGCUUACCAAGGCAACGAUGCGUAGCCGACCUGACAGGGUGAUCGGCCACACUGGAACUGAGACACGGUCCGGACUCCUACGGGAGGCAGCAGUAGGGAAUCUUCCGCAAUGGGCGAAAGCCUGACGGAGCAACGCCGCGUGAGUGAUGAAGGUCUUCGGAUCGUAAAACUCUGUUAUUAGGGAAGAACAAAUGUGUAAGUAACUAUGCACGUCUUGACGGUACCUAAUCAGAAAGCCACGGCUAACUACGUG